rfam:Gorilla gorilla gorilla genomic chromosome, chr4, whole genome shotgun sequence
GCCGGGCGCGGUGGCGCGUGCCUGUAGUCCCAGCUACUCGGGAGGCUGAGGCUGGAGGAUCGCUUGAGUCCAGGAGUUCUGGGCUGUAGUGCGCUAUGCCGAUCGGGUGUCCGCACUAAGUUCGGCAUCAAUAUGGUGACCUCCCGGGAGCGGGGGACCACCAGGUUGCCUAAGGAGGGGUGAACCGGCCCAGGUGGGAAACGGAGCAGGUCAAAACUCCCGUGCUGAUCAAAUACUGCAAAUAUAUUUAUUUAUUUAUUAACCUAGUGCUUAUUUCAUCAUUUUAUUUCCUGUUGCAA